GACGAACGCUGGCGGCGUGCUUAACACAUGCAAGUCGAACGGAAAGGCCCUGCUUUUGUGGGGUGCUCGAGUGGCGAACGGGUGAGUAACACGUGAGUAACCUGCCCUUGACUUUGGGAUAACUUCAGGAAACUGGGGCUAAUACCGGAUAGGAGCUCCUGCUGCAUGGUGGGGGUUGGAAAGUUUCGGCGGUUGGGGAUGGACUCGCGGCUUAUCAGCUUGUUGGUGGGGUAGUGGCUUACCAAGGCUUUGACGGGUAGCCGGCCUGAGAGGGUGACCGGCCACAUUGGGACUGAGGUUCGGCCCCGACUCCUACGGGAGGCAGCAGUGGGGAAUAUUGCACAAUGGGCGGAAGCCUGAUGCAGCAACGCCGCGUGCGGGAUGACGGCCUUCGGGUUGUAAACCGCUUUCGCCUGUGACGAAGCGUGAGUGACGGUAAUGGGUAAAGAAGCACCGGCUAACUACGUG
rnacentral:rRNA from 1 species